rnacentral:rRNA from 1 species
UACGUAGGGGGCAAGCGUUGUCCGGAUUUACUGGGCGUAAAGCGCGCGUAGGUGGAACGUUAAGUCCGGUCUGAAAGCCCCCGGCUCAACCGGGGAGGGUGGCUGGAAACUGGCGUUCUUGAGGGCGAGAGAGGAGGGUGGAAUUCCUGGUGUAGCGGUGAAAUGCGUAGAGAUCAGGAGGAACACCCGUGGCGAAGGCGGCUCUCUGGGACGGUACUGACGCUGAGACGCGAAAGCGUGGGGAGCGAACAGG